rnacentral:rRNA from 1 species
UCUAAAAGGAAAAAGGUAAUACUUUUUAGGAAACCUACACCCCUUGGCGGCCUUAUUUCUUAUUGAAGGAACUUGUUCUUUAAUCGAAAUUACCCGCUAGUUUUCUCUUUUAUCCAUGUUUUUAUACCGUCGUCUUAAGAAUAUUAUUAAAAAAAUUAUACUCAACUGAAUAAUCAUCAAAGUCAGAUCAAGGUGAAGCUUAUAUAAAAGGCUAGGGUGAGUUAUGCAUAAGUUCUACUAAGGGAUUAUUCUUUAAAAAGCAAUAUGAAUUAAGAUUCGACAGUAUCCUAAUAUCAAAAAUUUUAGGAGAAGAAGUAAAAAAAGGUGU